CUGCGGCCUAUCAGCUUGUUGGUGAGGUAAUGGCCCACCAAGGCGAUUACAGGUACGGGCUCUGAGAGGAGAAGCCCGGAGAUGGGUACUGAGACACGGACCCAGGCCCUAUGGGGCGCAGCAGGCGAGAAAACUUUGCAAUGUGCGAAAGCACGACAAGGUUAGUCCGAGUGAUUUCUGCUAAAGAGAUCUUUUGCAAGUUAUAAAACCACUAGUGAAUAAGGGGUGGGCAAGUUCUGGUGUCAGCCGCCGCGGUAAAACCAGCACCUCAAGUGGCCAGGAGGAUUAUUGGGCCUAAAGCAUCCGUAGCCGGCUUUGUUAGUUUUCGGUUAAAUCCAUAUGCUCAACAUAUGGGCUGCCGAAAAUACUGCACAGCUAGGGAGUGGGAGAGGUAGACGGUACUCAGUAGGAAGGGGUAAAAUCCUUUGAUCUAUUGAUGACCACCUGUGGCGAAGGCGGUCUACCAGAACACGU
rnacentral:rRNA from 2 species